rnacentral:rRNA from 1 species
UACGAAGGGGGCUAGCGUUGCUCGGAAUCACUGGGCGUAAAGGGUGCGUAGGCGGGGCUUUAAGUCAGGGGUGAAAUCCUGGAGCUCAACUCCAGAACUGCCUUUGAUACUGAAGAUCUUGAGUUCGGGAGAGGUGAGUGGAACUGCGAGUGUAGAGGUGAAAUUCGUAGAUAUUCGCAAGAACACCAGUGGCGAAGGCGGCUCACUGGCCCGAUACUGACGCUGGGGCACGAAAGCGUGGGGAGCAAACAGG